ACAAACUUUGUGCGGAGCGCGGUGAGCUACGCCCACCCCCCGAGGGGCGGUCCAGCGGCAGCGAGGGGCUUUGCCCCGCCCACCGUACCCGGAGGGGGCGGGGCCGGGAGGGCACCUUCUUCCUGCGCCCACCCCCACCCUCAGGAAUGCCACAUGGCCUUCGUAGAGGAGUGGUGGGAACGCAGAUCGGGAUAGUCCGCUUGGGGGCAGGAAGUGGCCCGUUCCUCCUUUCGGAGAGCAUUUCCGGAGCGCCUACUGUGUGCUCCAUUCUGGGGGUGAGGGCCGUUACGGAGAGGAGAAUUAAUGCAAAUCUUGAUGUUUGUUAGUCCGCUCCCUCCAUCAGGACCUCCCGCCGGCGGUUUGAUUUUUCCCAUUGCAUGGAAAGGAAACUGAGGCUCCGUUAGUCCAGGGAUUUAAUCCCAGCUGAUGGGGAAACUGAGGCCCAGAGUGGAGACCCCAAACAAUUUCUUGGGAAAGUGAUGCUCUGUCUAUAGCCUUCUGAGAGAAAGAGGAAGGCUUGAGGAGUCUCAGCACUAUUUAUUUUGAUGGAAAAUUUCAAAGAGCUACAUGUCUCGCACCUCUCUCACUGGGAGCUGACUGCUUACAGCCUUCUGGGACCUCUGCACAGCGGGAUGUUGUGACGGGGGAGGCGGCGGCGGUGGGGAGAAGCAGGCCACUCCAAGGUGGGUCUGAGUACAGACUCCACGUGCUUUUCCUCCCAUCUUCUGUUCUCUGACGACACAUCCCUCAUCAUGCCUUCCCCAGCGAACCCCCGAGUCCCUUCAAGUCCUAGAGACAAGCACGUGCCAUUGUCUUCCACCCCUGGGAGGACACUACCCCCCGCCAGAUGGAAAGAGGCUUCCAGAGGCAAAGCUGCCCGCCUAACAGGUGAGGGUGAAGGAGAGGAAACCCCCAAAGCCUGCUGGUGGUAUUUCUUUAGUUCUUACCUUGACUGUCUUCUUAGAUAUUGAGUAUGUUGUAUAUAAAUAAAUCAGUGCUAACUCA